UGUUCAAUGAUAAUCCAGAGAAAGUGCAGGUGAGGGAGAGGGUCUGGGAGGGCUUCACCAGUCCUAGGCCUGACUCCUGCAGCUACACCUG